UGGGGCCUACGGGGCGCAGCAGUGAGGAAUAUUGGUCAAUGGCCGGAAGGCUGAACCAGCCAAGUCGCGUGAGGGAAUAAGGCCCUAUGGGUCGUAAACCUCUUUUGUCAGGGAGCAAAGGCGUCCACGAGUGGACGAAAGGAGAGUACCUGAAGAAAAAGCAUCGGCUAACUCCGUGCCAGCAGCCGCGGUAAUACGGAGGAUGCGAGCGUUAUCCGGAUUUAUUGGGUUUAAAGGGUGCGCAGGCGGUCUGUUAAGUCAGCGGUCAAAUCCCGGGGCUCAACCCCGGCCCUCCGUUGUAACUU
rnacentral:rRNA from 1 species